AUUGAACGCUGGCGGCAGGCCUAACACAUGCAAGUCGAGCGGGGUUUUCGGACCUAGCGGCGGACGGGUGAGUAAUGCGUAGGAAGCUGCCCGAUAGAGGGGGAUACCAGUUGGAAACGACUGUUAAUACCGCAUAAUGUCUACGGACCAAAGUGUGGGACCUUCGGGCCACAUGCUAUCGGAUGCGCCUACGUGGGAUUAGCUAGUUGGUGAGGUAAUGGCUCACCAAGGCGACGAUCUCUAGCUGGUUUGAGAGGAUGAUCAGCCACACUGGAACUGAGACACGGUCCAGACUCCUACGGGAGGCAGCAGUGGGGAAUAUUGGACAAUGGGCGCAAGCCUGAUCCAGCCAUGCCGCGUGUGUGAAGAAGGCCUUCGGGUUGUAAAGCACUUUCAGCGAGGAGGAAGGGGUGUGUGUUAAUAGUACACACCUUUGACGUUACUCGCAGAAGAAGCACCGGCUAACUCUGUGCCAGCCGCCGCAGUAACAC
rnacentral:rRNA from 1 species